AUAGAUUGUUUUGAUGUGACGUCAUAGUGUUAUAGGGCAUUUAUAAUUCAAUCUUUACUUUAAAAAAAUUCAUUUUGUCCUUUUUCAGUUCAAUACGUAGAGAAAUUUUACUUCAAGAAAUAUCUCUCAGCCAAAGGAAGGCUUUUGUCAAAUGCGAAGAACGUGACAUCAAGCAACACCACAUGGACAAGAUCAACACUUUGACCAAGCAGCUACACCCAGCCAAUUGAAGAAACUAAAUUCUUUCUCAUGUAAAUCAGAUCAAACCAGAUUCUGAGUCCCAAUAGCAAUGGUUCUGGGAAACAAAACAAUGGAUUUUUUUUUUGCAUAAGAAAAGACAGCCUACUGUUUUGUCCCCCAAAACAAUUCCUCUAGGAAAGCCUUCUAGGGUUUUUUUUUUCAGAGAGAGUGAGCAUAUUAGAGGCUGACAGCGUAAUAAAUUUUGCUGAUUUUUGGGGAGGGGCCGGUCUGAAAAACAUUCCACGGUGAGGGAAAGAGGAGUAUGGAUAAUUUCUGGAACUACACAAUCCCACAAUUUCAUUCCAUCAUUUUAUAUUAUUAAAGCAGACUUACCCAGAAUCGUCACAUUGUGCUGCAUAAACUAAGAAAAGAAGAAAGGACAAUUUAGAACCUGGAAAAGAAAGUUUAUUUUAUUUUAUAUAAUAGAUUUUCAUGAACGCAUGCUCUGAUUAGCUGAAAAGCUAUGUUUUAUCAGAGUAUAGAAACAUAGAGAUGACGUCAAAACCAUGUUUUCUAUACAAAAUUAAACAUAGAAAUGACCUCACAGGAAUUCGGUUUUUCAAUUUAAAGCAUUUUGACAUUUUAAAUAUGUCUUUCCUCUAAAAAAGGAAAAUACGUCGUUUUGAAGCACAUUUGAUUGGUACUACAUUUCGACAAGUAAAGCUUUCUUUCGUUUGUGCUGCGACUAUUACCAUGACCUUAUUUCGCUAAACUAGAAGCUUUUUGCUUGACCGUGACGGCGUUAGAGAAGUCAAAAAAUAAUUUUAAACCUUUUUCAUAGUCUAAAAAGAAUGAACAAAUCUAUUGUAUUGUCACUUUUUUACGCUUAGUUACAGUAAUUUUGUUUUACCGUAAUUUGUUUUCCAAUAGUCCAAAACUACGAGUACAAAAUACUACUACAAGUGAGCAGAAAGUUUUCACAUAUAGUUAAGGGUCAACUAAAAAACCAGUUUUCCAAGUAUACUGCACUGCUAGCUUUCUUCCAGUUUCAAAGAUCAAGGUCUUUUUUAGUCUCUCGGCUCCUUGUGCAUUCAAAGUGUUCAAGCUGGUUUUCUUGAGUGUUUGUACAGGUAAAUGUCCAUUAAACGAUCUGAACUUUGAAAA